UUUGUCAACGGUAAGCGGACCGAAGGGAGCAUUAAGGAGUUGACAAACUCAUGACA
rnacentral:sRNA from 23 species